AUUGAACGCUGGCGGCAUGCUUUACACAUGCAAGUCGAACGGCAGCGGACCUUCGGGUGCCGGCGAGUGGCGAACGGGUGAGUAACGUAUCGGAACGUACCUUUCAGUGGGGGAUAACGUAGCGAAAGUUACGCUAAUACCGCAUAUUCUGUGAGCAGGAAAGCAGGGGAUCGCAAGACCUUGCGCUGAUUGAGCGGCCGAUAUCAGAUUAGCUAGUUGGUGAGGUAAAGGCUCACCAAGGGGACGAUCUGUAGCGGGUCUGAGAGGAUGAUCCGCCAAACUGGAACUGAGACACGGUCCAGACUCCUACGGGAGGCAGCAGUGGGGAAUUUUGGACAAUGGGGGCAACCCUGAUCCAGCCAUGCCGCGUGAGUGAAGAAGGCCUUCGGGUUGUAAAGCUCUUUCGUCCGGGAAGAAAUCGCAUCAGCUAAUACCUGGUGUGGAUGACGGUACCGGAAUAAGAAGCACCGGCUAACUACGUGCCAGCCGCCGCAGUAAUAC
rnacentral:rRNA from 1 species